UACGGAGGAUGCAAGCGUUAUCCGGAAUUACUAGGCGUAAAGGGCAGGCAGGCGGAUCCAUAAGUUUAUCGUUUAAGGCGUCGGCUUAACCGGCGUAGGGCGGUAGAUACUGUGGAUCUGGAAUGCGGUUGGGGAAGACAGAAUUCCUGGUGUAGCGGUGGAAUGCGCAGAGAUCAGGAGGAAUACCGAAGGCGAAGGCAGUCUUCCAAGCCGUUAUUGACGCUCAACUGCGAAGGUGUGGGUAUCAAACAGGAUUAGAUACCCCUGUAGU
rnacentral:rRNA from 1 species